UACGUAGGGUGCUAGCGUUGUUCGGAAUCAUUGGGCGUAAAGCGCGUGUAGGCGGCCAGAUAAGUCCGCUGUGAAAUCUCGAGGCUCAACUUCGAGCUGUCGGUGGAAACUGUCUGGCUAGAGUACGGAAGAGGCAAGUGGAAUUCCUGGUGUAGCGGUGGAAUGCGCAGAUAUCAGGAGGAACACCUAUAGCGAAGGCAGCUUGCUGGGACGUUACUGACGCUAAGGCGCGAAAGCGUGGGGAGCGAACAGG
rnacentral:rRNA from 1 species